GAUGAACGCUAGCUACAGGCUUAACACAUGCAAGUCGAGGGGCAGCAUGGUCUUAGCUUGCUAAGGCCGAUGGCGACCGGCGCACGGGUGAGUAACACGUAUCCAACCUGCCGUCUACUCUUGGACAGCCUUCUGAAAGGAAGAUUAAUACAAGAUGGCAUCAUGAGUUCACAUGUUCACAUGAUUAAAGGUAUUCCGGUAGACGAUGGGGAUGCGUUCCAUUAGAUAGUAGGCGGGGUAACGGCCCACCUAGUCUUCGAUGGAUAGGGGUUCUGAGAGGAAGGUCCCCCACAUUGGAACUGAGACACGGUCCAAACUCCUACGGGAGGCAGCAGUGAGGAAUAUUGGUCAAUGGGCGAGAGCCUGAACCAGCCAAGUAGCGUGAAGGAGGACUGCCCUAUGGGUUGUAAACUUCUUUUAUAAAGGAAUAAAGUCGGGUAUGGAUACCCGUUUGCAUGUACUUUAUGAAUAAGGAUCGGCUAACUCCGUG
rnacentral:rRNA from 1 species